CUCUUCCAUCGAAAUGUCAUACUCUUCUUGGUAAAACGAUACAAAUCUAGAAGUUAAUUGAACAUGGAAAAUCCCUGCUGUGUGGAUGAAAAUUCUACAUAUAAACUCUCGAAAGAGUAUCAUAGAAAAGACUUUCCUCUUUUCUAUAUAAAGCAUCUGCUUCAGGAAGAAAUUGAAGAAGAAGAGUUUAUUGCGUUCGUACUUUACAGGAUAUUUGAGAACG